rnacentral:rRNA from 1 species
UACGGAGGGGGUUAGCGUUGUUCGGAAUUACUGGGCGUAAAGCGCGCGUAGGCGGACUGGAAAGUGUGGGGUGAAAUCCCAGGGCUCAACCCUGGAACUGCCUUGCAAACUAUCAGUCUAGAGUUCGAGAGAGGUGAGUGGAAUUCCGAGUGUAGAGGUGAAAUUCGUAGAUAUUCGGAGGAACACCAGUGGCGAAGGCGGCUCACUGGCUCGAUACUGACGCUGAGGUGCGAAAGUGUGGGGAGCAAACAGG